rnacentral:rRNA from 1 species
AGUGAACGCUGGCGGUAGGCCUAACACAUGCAAGUCGAACGGCAGCACAGUAAGAGCUUGCUCUUACGGGUGGCGAGUGGCGGACGGGUGAGGAAUACAUCGGAAUCUACUUUUUCGUGGGGGAUAACGUAGGGAAACUUACGCUAAUACCGCAUACGACCUACGGGUGAAAGCAGGGGAUCUUCGGACCUUGCGCGAUUGAAUGAGCCGAUGUCGGUUUAGCUAGUUGGCGGGGUAAAGGCCCACCAAGGCGACGAUCCGUAGCUGGUCUGAGAGGAUGAUCAGCCACACUGGAACUGAGACACGGUCCAGACUCCUACGGGAGGAAGCAGUGGGGAAUAUUGGACAAUGGGGGAAAGCCUGAUCCAGCCAUACCGCGUGGGUGAAGAAGGCCUUCGGGUUGUAAAGCCCUUUUGUUGGGAAAGAAAAGCAGCAGGUUAAUACCCCGCUGUUCUGACGGUACCCAAAGAAUAAGCACCGGCUAACUUCGUG